GAACUGCUAAUUCUUACCCCUGAAGUUAGACUCUUCAGACCCCUCACUUUUAAAGGAUAAAAGAUAAUC
rnacentral:tRNA from 1 species